rnacentral:rRNA from 1 species
GAUGAACGCUGGCGGCGUGCUUAACACAUGCAAGUCGAACGGAAAGGCUCCUGCUUGCAGGGGUACUCGAGUGGCGAACGGGUGAGUAACACGUGGGUGAUCUGCCCUGCACUUCGGGAUAAGCCUGGGAAACUGGGUCUACUACCGGAUAGGACGAUGGUUUGGAUGCCAUUGUGGAAAGUUUUUGCGGUGUGGGAUGAGCUCGCGGCCUAUCAGCUUGUUGGUGUGGUAAUGGCCUACCAAGGCGUCGACGGGUAGCCGGCCUGAGAGGGUGUACGGCCACAUUGGGACUGAGAUACGGCCCAGACUCCUACGGGAGGCAGAAGUGGGGAAUAUUGCACAAUGGGCGAAAGCCUGAUGCAGCGACGCCGCGUGGGGUAUGACGGCCUUCGUGUUGUAAACUCCUUUCGCUAGGGACGAAGCGCAAGUGACGGUACCCGGAGAAGAAGCACCGGCUAACUACGUG